rnacentral:tRNA from 1 species
ACAGAGAUGGCUCAGUGGUUGAGAGCACUGGCUUCUUUGCAAGAGGACCUGGGUUCAAUUCCCAGUCCUUACA